GACGAACGCUGGCGGCGCGCUUAACACAUGCAAGUCGAACGGAAAGGCCUGCUUUCCCUUGUGGAUUGCGGGUACUCGAGUGGCGAACGGGUGAGUAACACGUGAGUGAUCUGCCCCCAACUUGGGUAUAAGCCUGGGAAACUGGGUCUAAUUCCCGAUAGGACUGCAGGGUGGUGCCUUUGGUGGAAAACGAUUUUCUAGUGGUUGGGGAUGAGCUCGCGGCCUAUCAGCUUGUUGGUGGGGUAAUGGCCUACCAAGGCGGCGACGGGUAGCCGGCCUGAGAGGGUGGACGGCCACAUUGGGACUGGGAUACGGCCCCGACUCCUACGGGAGGCAGCAGUGGGGAAUAUUGCACAAUGGGCGGAAGCCUGAUGCAGCGACGCCGCGUGGGGGAUGACGGCCUUCGGGUUGUAAACUCCUUUCGACCGCGAGGAAGCCACCUGGUUGGAAGGGUGGUGACGGUAGUGGUAGAAGAAGCACCGGCUAACUACGUG
rnacentral:rRNA from 1 species